rnacentral:rRNA from 1 species
UACGGAGGGUGCAAGCGUUAUCCGGAUUCACUGGGUUUAAAGGGUGCGUAGGUGGAAUGGUAAGUCAGUGGUGAAAUCUCCAAGCUUAACUUGGAACUGCCGUUGAUACUAUCAUUCUUGAAUAUCGUGGAGGUGAGCGGAAUAUGUCAUGUAGCGGUGAAAUGCUUAGAUAUGACAUAGAACACCGAUUGCGAAGGCAGUUCACUAGGCGUGUAUUGACACUGAGGCACGAAAGCGUGGGGAUCAAACAGG